UGGUGGGGUUCGUGGUGUCGAAUAAGAUGCAGAAAUCGGUGGUGGCGGCAGUGGAUCGGCUGUUCCUCCACAAGCUGUACAACCGCUGUGUCAAGCGCACCAGCAAGUUCAUAGCCCACGACGAGAACAACGACUGCAACCUCGGCGACCGAGGACUGGGAAGCUUAUUGUAGUCCCUAGAUCAUCGUGUGAUGUUAUUACAAAGCACAGCAUACAACAAUUGUGAACUCGAGGCUUGCCUGGGUUAUCAAGAUCCUGUUCUUAGCAAUCAAAGAUUCUAGUCUCAAGUUUUGGGCAAUGCAUCCUGGUAUUUGGGCUUCGGGUUAGUAUGGUGCUAACAGGGUUUUUAAGGAAAAAUGAAAAGAAAAGGAAGGUAUCGGUUGUUGCUGGAUAGUUGAGCACGACUCAAAUUUAUUGGCUAAUUAUGUUAUUAUAGACGGUUGUUGGCACCUCCGUUGUAGUCUAGUUGGUUAGGAUACUCGGCUCUCACCCGAGAGACCCGGGUUCGAGUCCCGGCAACGGAAGUUUUUUCAUAAAUUUAUUAAAAAGUAAAGAAUAAAGUGAGUCCCAUGAGUCUAUCUAUUAUUAUUAUUAUUUUU